UGCCGCGUGUUCUCUCUCUUCCUCCAACCUGGUUAGGGUUCCCAGCCACUUCUCGUCCUCCGCCGCCGCGUAUUCCUCUCUGACCUCGCUGGGAGCAGCCAGGAGGACCCCGCCGCCGUGCCUCCCUUCUCUCCCCCUCUCCCUUCUGUCCCUUCUCCUACUUUUUCCGACCUCUCCAUCUCCUCUGAACUGCGCGCCGUUCCUCUUCGCAGGUGUCGUCAUGGAGCUCGCCCCCCGGGCUGCGUGCCCCUCCGACGACACCCUGCCUAGCCCGCUCCCAGGUCCUCUGGAUCCCGAUUUGCGUGUCUAUUAUUUUGCGCUCGAUCCAGAUUUGGACGGGACCUUUUUUCAGGCACCGCGAGCGUGCUGGACGGCGGGAAGGGCCGCGUCAAGAAGGCCGCCAGUGACGGCGGCUCUGGGGCGCUGCACGUCGCUGUCGUCUCACCCCCAAAUGCACCGCCCGCCCAAAGCCUUCUGCCGUUGUCCCUCCUAAUUACGACAGCGAGCGCCCAAUCCCCUCACAUGCACGUGAUAUCGUUCCACUGAACACACGUGCUGGCCGGCCCUGACUCUGUACUUCGAUAAUACACUACACGACUGUCGCUACUCCCAACUCGGUGUAGUCUAUCUCGUUGGUUGCAGAUGGGAUGGGAUAUUCUGCGGCGUGGACAUGGCCUAGCGAUCAGAUUUGGCAGGAAGAUCUCAUCCUGGAACCCAGGUGUGCUUGAUUUGAUAUUUAGAAUUCUAUUUGCUAGGUAUGUACAUGCAUAGCGUACGGUGUAUCCAAAGCUUUGUUUAACCAGUGGUAUGUACAUGCAUAGCGCCCAAUUCUAUUUGUUAGAACUAAUCUCUGGUUUAGUAGAAGCCCACAGUGGUUGCAAUACUAGAGUCAUAUCUAUUGUGGGCAAGAUUGAAAAAUUGCAUAUAUCCAGUCGUCUUAUGUGUUUAUCACCAAUGAAACUGUGCAACAUUACAACAAGAUAAAUAAACGAACAGUGCCAUAUGAGUUAAAAGAAUUUUAAGCCUUUUUUGAGCAAUUAAUCUGCAACUUUCAAGGACGGGAGGUGCUUUUGAUCUUCUAAUUAGUUCGUCCAGAUUAGGUUUUUUUUUCUGCUGGUCCAAGGUUUGUAUAUCACCGACUUAGAUUUGUUUUUCUUCAUGCGCAUAUGUUAGAGUAAUAUCCAUGCGCUAAAAAAUUUCAUUCUGAAUUUCCUUCGUGCAUCAGUGUAUAUAUAUGUUUCUUAUGAUGCCCGGGUGCGUUUACCUUGUCAAGAAGCUUCGCGUGAACGUCAAUGCCGAUGACAACAAAGGUGGUCUGUUUCGCUUCCUCCUUCCGAUUUUGCAAAAUAUAAACACCAGGGUGUCUAGAAAUUCAGAUUGUUGGUUCACCAGCAGCACGGUCAGUAUGAUGAAACAGACUGCACUGAUACUUUAUUUGUGUGUUCGAUAUAGUCUAAUUUAAUAUACCAGCGAUGAUGGUAUUGAAUCUGCAAAAAUAUAUAUGCUAAUUUCCUAAUUGCAUCUUUUAAUCAGGAGCCCAGGACCAACCUUUAGGCAGGAAAGAGGGACAAUCUUCAGUAAGCUACAAUCUUCAUGUCUUCUUGUAGCAUUUGACUGACGUGUUAUGGUAUCAUUCUUCUACUUUCACAGUUAUUACUGUGAAUAUGUUGACCUCAUGUCUUCUCAUCAUUUGAGCUCACUUUGAUAUUACUGGUUCUAAAUCCAACAAGAUCUUGAAUAUUUUUCACUUUGCCCAUUCAAAAAUUUGUUCACCUAACAACAUUCAUGAUGUAAGCUUUGGUUUGAAAAACACCUUUUCAAUGUUAUAGGACAUACAAACAAGAAGGGUAGGGAGAACAUGCCCGAGAAGCUCAGAGAUAAGGCAGAAGCCUUGCUGGGGAAGAGAAGCAAGCUCAAGCACUCUUGAGCAUGGGCUGAUAGAGCGGCCGAGCAGGGCGAUCGAGCGCAGUCGUGCGCGAGGGGAAGUGAAUCUGGGAGAGGCAUCAGGGGGCCAUCAGCAGGAAGGCAGCAGGUGGCGUGCAGCACUGGACUUAGCCAUGUCUUCGCCAAGGUGGCUGGUUGUUUCCACAACAUGUUUGGAUGGUGAUGUUGUUAUGGUCGCGUAGGGUCGGAGUUCCUUGACUGCAUUUAUCUCAGCAAAAUCUCAUGAUGAUGCGUUCACGGACGCCGCCGUUGCUGCAUCUUCAUCCUCCGGGCCUCCGUCGUCGACUUCAUCUUCAACCUCCAUCCGCCGCCGCCGUCCAUGGGAUGGUUAAUCGAAGGAGAAGCUUGUGGUGUGGCUCAGCCCAGUGGCUCUGAAACUCCACUGGAUAACGCUGCUGAAUACUGUCAAAGGAAGGAAUCAGUGCUAAGGUGAUCAACCUUCGAUCAGUUAGGCCACUGGAUAGAGCUGCGAUAAAAGCAUAUGUUACGAAAACAAAUAGGUUGGUGAUUCUUGAAGAAGGCUUCCCCCAACAUCGUGUUGGUGCUGAGAUAUGGUUCUCUCUCUCUCUCUCUCUCUCUCUCCACACACACAUCAUGUCAGGUUUGAGCAGGCCAACCCUUCUCCAAUUAUUCAUUCGAAUUAUUGUACAGAAUCUACAAUUAUAAGAAAAAAGUAUUUGAUAAAUUAGAGAGAGAUAUGCUUACAUAAAUUGCUCACCCCUGAAGGAUGAAGCAAAUCCCAAGUAACAUGUUAAUAUAUCUUGAUGCAUAUUUGUAUUUACUUUGCUUCAGGUUCGCAUGCAGUGACGGGGAUUUCAUCGAUGUCGCCUCCAUUUUCUUGGUGAACCCACAUUUCCCUCUUAAGAUUGUUUACUUUAUCCUUGCUGCAUCGGCCUUGCAUAUGGCCAUUGGGUACUGAUCGCCUCCAUGUCUUUGGUACAUUCUGAAGGAGAAGAUUGCUGGUCGAGAAGGUCAUUUAUCUGAUAUUAGUUUAUUGAAGAAAUUGGCAAGGAUGUAUUUUCAGUACAUUAGGAUUUUUUGUAGUCACAUGGUUCUGAUAGGAAGAUACCGUUGCUACCAGGUCAACAAUCUCCCCUUCAAUAAUAUUUGAUUUACA